rnacentral:rRNA from 1 species
GACGAACGCUGGCGGCGUGCUUAACACAUGCAAGUCGAGCGGAAAGGCCCUUCGGGGUACUCGAGCGGCGAACGGGUGAGUAACACGUGAGUAACCUGCCCUAGCCUUUGGGAUAACCCCGGGAAACCGGGGCUAAUACCUGCUAUGACCUGGUGCCUCAUGGUGUUGGGUGGAAAGUUUUUUCGGCCUGGGGUGGGCUCGCGGCCUAUCAGCUUGUUGGUGGGGUGGUGGCCUACCAAGGCGAUGACGGGUAGCCGGCCUGAGAGGGCGACCGGCCACACUGGGACUGAGACACGGCCCAGACUCCUACGGGAGGCAGCAGUGGGGAAUAUUGCACAAUGGGCGGAAGCCUGAUGCAGCGACGCCGUGUGAGGGAUGAAGGCCUUCGGGUUGUAACCCUCUUUCAGCAGGGACGAAGCGUGAGUGACGGUACCUGCAGAAGAAGCGCCGGCCAACUACGUG